rnacentral:lncRNA from 1 species
GGUGAGCCUGUCAGACUGCUUUUUCGUAUCACCACUAUGUUAUAGGAUUCCAAUUGCAGUGAAAGAAGCUCUAAUUUUUCAGGUUUCUGAGAUAUGGGUGGCAAAUUUCUUAAUGGGACAUGGGAUUAUUUUUGCUAAAAUUUAGGAAAAACUAAAAUUUCAUUUGGAAUUCUUACUAGUGAGGCUGUAUUACUUGUAUGCGCAUAUUUUCUUUCUUGAAGUUGAUAAGGAAGAGGCAAAUUGGGCAGUAGGGAUGCAUGAGGACAAUAUACAAGUAAAGGAUGUUCUUUUUUUCCCAAAAUUUGAGAUAAUUGCACUGAAGGUCCAAAAGCUCCAUCCUAAGGAGGACUGUAGUUCAUGUGCAAUGGUUGUUUACUUUGCCAACUGCUUUGUUGAGCACUAUGUUACAUGGUAUGAGAUGACUUGCAAGGAUAAUCUCCCAACCUAUUGGAACAAAGGGAUAAAAAUAGUGCUAUUAUUUAUUGUUCCUCAAUUCUGAAGGAUGAGUUCAUAUCUAAGUAAUGAGCCUAUAGUUGCUUUUCUCCCAACCUAUUGGAACAAAGGGAUAAAAAUAGUGCUAUUAUUUAUUGUUCCUCAAUUCUGAAGGAUGAGUUCAUAUCUAAGUAAUGAGCCUAUAGUUGCUUUUCACAUGAUGGCAUUGAUGUUACUGCUCCAAUACAGGGAA